rnacentral:rRNA from 1 species
GAGGAAACACGCUAAGGCCGUAGAUUAAGCCAUGCAAGUGUUAGUUCAGGCAACGAAACUGCGAACAGCUCAUUAAUACGCUCAGAAUCUAUUUGGCUUCUACCCUUUACGGGUAUUACAUGGAUAGCAGCGGCAAUUCUGGUGCUAAUACAUGCGACUUAUCCACCUUAAGCGAGUUAAGGUGAGGACUUGACCUUCUAGGCAUGCCAUUCGAUUGAGCGCCCUAUCAGCUUGUCCAUAGUUUCUGGCACUAUGGAUGCGAUAACGGGUGACGGGCGGUUACCGUCGGACUGCCGGAGAGGGCGCCUGAGAGACAGCGGCCAUUUCCAUGGAACAGCAGCAGGCGCGAAACUUACCCACUCGCCAACGGCGGAGGUGGUGACGGCCAGUUACAUGGUGUCGAUAAGACCCACGUAUAGGCUCUGACCUUACCAGUCAGGGGUAACCAAGGAGAGGGCUAGUUCCGGUGCCAGCAGCUGCGGUAAUUCCGGCUCUCCAAGCUUGUUUCCCUGUUACGUUUAAAACGCCCGUAGUCUAAAUCAGAAGCACGUAUAGUGCGUUCACCGUGAUUAAAUCAGGAUGCUUAGAGUAGUUCGUAACUGAAUGACUCAGCACGGUAUGAAAUCUUUACCCCAUUCGGGUCAGCUUAAUGAGAGCCAUCGGGGGUAGACGUACGUGGUGGCGAGCGGCGGAAUGCGUUGACCCACCACGGACGAACGAAUGCGAAAGCAUCUACCUAGAGGGUUUCUGUCGAUCAAGGGCGAGAGCAGGGGGAUCAAAAAGGAUUAGACACCCUUGUAGUCCCUGCCUUAAACGAUGCCGACUAGGCCUUGUUUCUUUUUGCAGGGUCUUAGGAGAAAUCAUAGUCUCUGGGCUACGGGGGAACUACGACCGCAAGGCUGAAACUUGAAGGAAUUGACGGAAGAGCACACCAGGGGUGGAGACUGUGGCUCAAUUCGACUCAACACGGAGAAACUUACGGUUCCCAGAUACUUUUAAUGACUGACAAGCCAAAGACUUUUCAGGAUGUGGUUGUUGGUGGUGCAUGGCCGUUGGUGGUGCGUGGGUUGACCUGUCUCUAGUCGAUUCAGAUAACGAGCGAGACUACCGCCCCUUACCUAGACCAAGCUACUGGGUAGCGACAGUCUUCUAAGUGGGACUCCCUGCGAUUAAGCAGGCGGAAGAGGGUAGCAAUAACAGGUCCGUGAUGUCCUUUAGAUGGGACCGGCUGCACGCGUUCUACAAUGUAGGGCUCAAAGGGUCUGCUUCCCUGAAAUGGCUUGCUACUCUCUUAAUGCCUUACGUGGUUUGGACUGAGGGCUGGAAUUGCCUUCACGCAAAGAGGAAUCCCUUGUAAGCGUGUAUCAUUAAUGCACGCUGAAUACGUCCCUGCUCUUUGUACACACCGCCCGUCGCUCCCUUCGAUUGGAUGGAUUGGCGAAAUCACUGGACUCUUCGGGGAAAGGUAAUUAAGCCUGUCGAUUUAGAGAAGGGAGAAGUCGUAACAAGGUAACG